rnacentral:rRNA from 1 species
AUUGAACGCUGGCGGCGUGCCUAACACAUGCAAGUCGAGCGGUAACAGGUGUAGCAAUACAUGCUGACGAGCGGCGAACGGGUGAGUAAUGCUUCGGAAUCUACCCAAUGGUGGGGAAUAACCAGCCGAAAGGUUGGCUAAUACCGCAUACGUCCCACGGGAGAAAGCAGGGGAUCGCAAGACCUUGCGCCAAUGGAUGAGCCGAAGUCGGAUUAGCUAGUUGGAGGGUAACGGCCUACCAAGGCGACGAUCCGUAGCCGUCGU